rnacentral:rRNA from 1 species
GAUGAACGCUGACAGAAUGCUUAACACAUGCAAGUCUUUGGCGAAGCUGUGCUUGCACCGCCUAGCCAAGGCGGACGGGUGAGUAACGCGUAAGGAACUUGCCCUGCAGUCAGGGAUAACAGACGGAAACGACUGAUAAGACCUGGUAAAGUCAGGCGGACUCAUGUCCAGCCUGAUGAAAAGAGAUGCUGCAGGAGAGCCUUGCGUCCUAUUAGCUUGUUGGUGGGGUAACGGCCCACCAAGGCGAUGAUAGGUAGCCGGCCUGAGAGGGUGGACGGCCACAAGGGGACUGAGAUACGGCCCUUACUCCUACGGGAGGCAGCAGUGGGGAAUAUUGGACAAUGGGGGCAACCCUGAUCCAGCAAUUCUGUGUGCACGAUGAAGGUCUUCGGAUUGUAAAGUGCUUUCAGCAGGGAAGAAAAAAUGACGGUACCUGCAGAAGAAGCGACGGCUAAAUACGUG